AGGGCACCACCAGGAGUGGAGCCUGCGGCUUAAUUUGACUCAACACGGGGAAACUCACCCGGCCCGGACACCGUAAGGAUUGACAGAUUGAUAGCUUUUUCAUGAUUCGGUGGAUGGUGGUGCAUGGCCGUUCUUAGUUCGUGGAGCGAUCUGUCUGGUUUACUCCGAUAACGAGCGAGACUCUGGCCUACUAAAUAGUUGGCGCAUUGCCACUGUGCGUACAUACUUCUUAGAGGGAUUUUCGGUGUUCAGCCGCACGAAAUUGAGCAAUUUUUUUUUUUGUGAUGCCCUUAGAUGUCCGGGGCUGCACGCGCGCUACACUGGCAAAAUCAGCGUGCUUGUCCUUCCCCGAAAGGGGUUGGUAAACCCGUGAAAAUUUGCCGUGAUUGGGAUCGGACAUUGCAAUUAUUGUCCGUGAACGAGGAAUUCCUUGUAGGGGCGAGUCAUCAACUCGCUCUGAAUACGUCCCUGCCCUUUGUACACACCGCCCGUCGCUGCCCGGGACUGAGCCAUUUCGAG
rnacentral:rRNA from 1 species